rnacentral:rRNA from 1 species
GACGGAGGGGGCAAGCGUUGUCCGGACUCACUGGGCGUAAAGAGCUCGUAGGCGGUUUGUCGCGUCUGCCGUGAAAGUCCGGGCUCAACUCCGGAUCUGCGGUGGGUACGGGCAGACUAGAGUGAUGUAGGGGAGACUGGAAUUCCUGGUGUAGCGGUGAAAUGCGCAGAUAUCAGGAGGAACACCGAUGGCGAAGGCGGGUCUCUGGGCCGAUACUGACGCUGAGGAGCGAAAGCGUGGGGAGCGAACAGG